rnacentral:tRNA from 1 species
GCGCCUGUGGUGGAACUGGGAGACACGCCAGAUUUAGGAUCUGGUGCCUUCGGGCGUGGGGGUUCGACUCCCUCCAGGCGCACCA